rnacentral:rRNA from 1 species
UUUGUGAGGGGUUCGAUUCUGGCUCAGNAUGAACGCUGGCGGCGUGCUUAACACAUGCAAGUCGAACGGGAUCAGGCAGCUNGCUGCCUGGNGAGAGUGGCGAACGGGUGAGUAAUGCGUGACCAACCUGCCCNAUGCUCCGGAAUAGCUNCUGGAAACGGGUGGUAAUGCCGNAUGUGCCGGGCNCCUGCAUGGGGGUCCGGNAAAGCUUUGGCGGCAUGGGAUGGGGUCGCGUCCUAUNAACUUGUUGGCGGGGUUAGGGCCNACCAAGGCUUNGACGGGUAGCCGGCCUGAGAGGGCGACCGGCCACAUUGGGACUGAGAUACGGCCNNGACUCCUACGGGAGGCAGCAGUGGGNNAUAUUGCACAAUGGGCGCAAGCCUGAUGNNGCGACGNNGNNUGCGGGAUGGAGGCUUNGGGUUGUAAACCGNNUUUGUUUGGGAGUCAACCUNGGGGUGAGUGUACCNUNUGAAUAAGCACCGGCUAACUACGUGCCAGCAGCCGCGGUAAUANGUAGGGUGCCAGCGUUAUNCGGAUUUAUUGGGCGUAAAGGGCUCGUAGGCGGUUCGUCGCGUCCGGUGUGAAAGUCCAUCGCUUAACGGUGUAUNUGCGCCGGGUACGGGCGGGCUGGAGUGCGGUAGGGGAGACUGGAAUUCCCNGUGUAACGGUGGAAUGUGUAGAUAUCGGGAAGAACACCAAUGGCGAAGGCAGGUCUCUGGGCNGUUACUGACGCUGAGGAGCNAAAGCGUGGGGAGCGAACAGGAUUAGAUACCCUGGUAGUCCACGCCGUAAACGGUGGAUGCUGGAUGUGGGGCCCUUCCACGGGUCCCGUGUCGGAGCCAACGCGUUAAGCAUCCCGCCUGGGGAGUACGGCCNNAACGNAAAACUCAAAGAAAUUGACGGGGGCCGGCACAAGCGCGGAGAUGCGGAUUAAUUCGAUGCAACGCGAAGAACCUUACCUGGGCUUGACAUGUUCCCGACGACGGCGNAGACANUUUUUCCCUUCGGGGCGGGUUCACAGGUGGUGCAUGGUCGUCGUCAGCUCGUGUCGUGAGAUGUUGGGUCAAGUCCCGCAACGAGCGCAACCCUCGCCCCGUGUUGCCAGCGCGUCAUGGCGGGAACUCACGGGGAACCGCCGGGGUUAACCCGGAGGAAGGUGGGGAUGACGUCAGAUCAUCAUGCCCCUUACGUCCAGGGCUUUACGCAUGCUACAAUGGCCGGUACAACGGGAUGCGACAUGGUGACAUGGAGCGGAUCCCUGAAAACCGGUCUCAGUUCGGAUCGGAGCCUGCAACCCGGCUCCGUGAAGGCGGAGUCGCUAGUAAUCGCGGAUCAGCAACGCCGCGGUGAAUGCGUUCCCGGGCCUUGUACACACCGCCCGUCAAGUCAUGAAAGUGGGCAGCACCCGAAGCGGUGGCCUGACCAGUUCUGCUGGGGAGCCGUCUAAGGUGAG